rnacentral:lncRNA from 1 species
CUGAAAAAAUAAUCACCAAGAUGACUAAGAAGACAGUUAAAGUAAUGCACGUAUCCACAUCAUCACUGCCCAGGGCAGAGGGAUGAAACUGGAGUCCCAGCCACAUGCUGGUAGAAGGUAAUCUAGGGCUGGUGCUCUGAGCCAAGGACAUCUUCAGCUCCCAGAAUCCAAGGAAAGAAAAAGGCCUUGCCCCAGAUCAUGUUUGGAUCACAGCCAUGGCUGGAGAAUAUUUUGCCACAAUUGUUUCCACUGCACUUAAAACAUACCAGACAUUUCAGCUAACCCUCUCUGUGCUGAGGACAAAGGAGUUCCUCAGAUGCCAGGGUUUGUGGGUCUGGAGAGCUGUGGAACUGGUCUUCUCUGGGUGGAUAUUGUCUGGAGAAGAGGAAGGGAAAAGAGAGAAAGGAAAAGCAAGCAUGUUACAAAGCAUCCUUCCCUACUUCAGAUCUGUGUCUCCUUCUACCAUCUUCUCAGAAGAUUAUCUUCUUUGUCAGGCUCAAGAAUGACAAGUCCAGUUCAUGUCAAAAUCUGGUAAUAAAUCUUCAUGCUUCUAUUGCUGCUUCUAGCUA